GCCUCGACUGUCCAAACUCUAUUUUUCAUCUGGUGGACGCCCACACAGGCACCGCAUUGCCCUUGGAGGAGAGCCCGGCACACAGCAUGCCCUUGCAAUGGCGAUGGGACGGGAGAGAAAAGGAAAAGAGAUGACAGGGUGAAUGAGUGGAGGGAGUGUGGAGUUAAUCUGCCACUAUUAACGAGGACGAGGUAGUUUUAUGCAACUUUACUAAAGACGAUUCUGAAAAAACGAAAGCUAGCUGUUGCCCUGGUGGUCCCUGCCCCACGGAAGGAGUGGAAGCGCGUUUACUGACUACAUAUCUGUCUCCCUGUUGUCUGUUUGGUCAGAGCAGGGGCCUUGCCUUCUUCAUCUGUUCCCUGCAGCCAAGCGCAGGACCAGGACUUUGCUGAUGCUUAGCAGACGUUCCCGCCCCCGGGAGUGGGAGGGAAGCAGUAGUGUGCGGAUGGGGUGACUGACACAGGUCUUUGGUCUUCGUCCCCUAAUCCCGGGACAAGAGCAACUAAAACACUUGUAAUUUCCUGAGCGACGGGGUGAGAGGAGCAUCUUCUGUCACUCAUAACAAGCCCCUUUCAAGAACACCCGAGCUUAUGCCCAUGAGGUGACCGUUGGAAGAUGGGAGCUGGUGUCCAGAGGAGCCAACCAUGUGAUCAGAGGGCGGGAACUUUCAGCCCCACUCCUCCGCCUCCAGGGAGUGGGAAGGAGUUGGGGACUGAGUUGAUCACCAAUGGCCAAUGAUGUGACAAACCACACCUACGUAAUGGAACCUCCAUAUAACCCUAAACCACGGGGGAUGGAGAGCCCGGCUGGUGAAAGUGUUGGGAGGUGAAAGGUGUCAUGUGCUGGGAGGUGGCUCACUCGGAGUCCACAGGGACACAGGCUCCUGUGCUCGGGACCAUUCUGGACCUGGCUCUAUGUGCCUCUCCCUCUGCUGUUCCCUUGUGUCCUUUACAACAAACUGGGUAAGUCAUCUAAUUAAAGGGGACAGGGAGCACUGUCCUUCCAGAAGGCCUGGGGAGCAGAACACAGUGAAUAGCCCGAUGGACGACCGCUGGGGACACGAGUCUCGGGGACCAGUUAGAAGGACUUUCUUUCCUCUCUCAGUGUCUGGGAACAGGGCAGGAUCCAAGACCAGAGCUUAGGCUGGGAAGCAGGACUGGAAAGGCUGAAUGUGCCCCCGGUCUCGGACGUGCUGUCAGUCUCUCUUCCUGGGGAGAAGUCUGGGUAUGCUCCGAGGCACCUGGAUUAAAUAAAAUGUCAACUUGAGAAGUACCAAUCUUUCUUGUAUGUUCUAAGAGAAGGGAGUCCAUUCUUCAUGUUAGUCUUGGGGGCGUCUCCAGGGGCAGGUGUGGGGGUGGUAAUGGGAGGCUGUAUGGGCUACCGAGCGGGGACCCCACUGUCCCCGGGUCAGACGGGUCAGCCACCGUCUAGCCCUGUGGCCUCGGGGAGGCAGUGCGUCUCUCCUUAUUUGCCCAUCUGUAAAGUGGGCUGAUAACCAUCCCCACCACUGGAGCAGCUGGGAAGACUGACUGAGAUUGUGCCUGGAGCACCUGGUGCCAGGCCUGGCUGGGGAGCAGACGCUGGAUAGGCCAGUGAU
ensembl:lncRNA